rnacentral:lncRNA from 1 species
AUUUCAGCGCUGCAAUCGUAGAGCUCCUCCGAAACAUCAUAUUCAGGCGAUUUUCCUUCAUCAAAGUUAUGAAUGGUUGCUUCCACGAAUCCUGCGACUUCCACAUCUUCAGGUGAUUCUGAUGUAAAUCUGCUGUCCAGAAUCAGCUGGUUUGUCUUAGUCGGGCAUCUCUGCUGAGACCAGUCCACUAUGGGUGACCCUACCGGUAUCUGUGAAGUACCAGUGGCGAAGCUCUCAGCAUCACUGAUGCACACAAGCCCUCACAGCACGUCAAGCUGCAAACCACGUGAGGGACCCUAACCUAACCUACCCUAACCUAACAGACACUGCAAACCACUAAACGCAUCGAAACUCUCAGAAGAGUCCAGCGAGCGACCAGCAACACGAGAACAACCGCUCAGAAAACCUCGACAACCGUGCAGAAAACCACCUGAAACAUCCUGAAGACCACCGAGCAAACCAAGAACUUCAAGUCAACAACACCAAGAAUCAAUAAAAACAACCAGUUGAUGAAACAAAACAUGCAAAAGGAAACUUACUGUGAACUUGCUCUACAACUAUGUACACUAUAUACAUACGCAGGCCUGCAGUGUGGUUGGGACACUGUGAAGACUCAGCGUCUGGCCCUCUUUCUGCUGGGCUUCUCAGGCAGUGGCUCUCCACUGAUGUCCACAUGGACUCGAGGAGCCAUGCUGUCUGGUCUGGAUCCACAUCUGCGUUCUGUAAUGAGGAUUCGUCCAUCAGCCUGCACUGUCUCCUCCAUC